GGAGGACAUAUCCCUGACUGACAACAUCUCCACUGCCCUCUUCCCACAGAGCUCGGGGAUGGCAUUCCAGUUCCCCUCUCUGGAAGAAUGGAGAGAACCUUUUCUCCUGCUCAGCACCAGCUGAGAGCUCCCAGGAAGCUACAGUGAAUACACGGCUUUGAUUUUCCUUGACCUCAUUGUACCUAAUCAGAUAAGCCAACCUGCUGAAGAAAUUCAGUUCUUUUCAGCUGGAAGUUUCACACCUGGGUAUAGUUCUGUCCCUCUGAG
rnacentral:lncRNA from 1 species